CGCGGUCCCGCAACCCCGCCGCGACCCCAGAUAAUCCCAGACAGCACCGCCAAACUGUCGCCGAAAUCGCCACCCAUCCGCUCAGAGAUCAAGGUUUCCGAUUUGGAUCGGCCCCUGAUUCGCUCGCCCGACAUUCGGAUCGAUCGGAACGACGGCGAUACGCAUCCGGCUCCGGAAUCGCGAGGACGGCAUGUGACCUCCUAGCCGGUCGCACAUGGUGAGCAGUAUCCGGCUGUCUGCCAAAACAAAAGCGAUCGUGCUUUAGCCUAGUCUCGUGCACAUGGCGCGAUCGUACUCUGCCGAUGGAGCCUCGGCGGCCGCUUUCCCUGUCUCGAUGCAGGGCCUGAUGAUUCCGUUCCAGAUGACGCGCUUGA